GAAAGGUUCUUGAGGGAGCGUGUGUGACGAAUGCUAGAUGAGGGGCUAAGGCCUAAUUGGGCUGGGGGUAUUGAAGAAUUGUUCAUCGUGUCAGAGUCUUUUCUCCAGAAACAAACAGGUUUCAAACUUCCCAUUGACUUGUACUCAUAAUGGCAUUCAAGGAACAAUAUCAGAGGGAGUACAACAACUCCAGAAAGCAUAGCGCAAAACAUAAUCUU